rnacentral:sRNA from 1 species
GGAUGUGAGGGCUAUCUGGCUGCAACAUCUGUCACCCCAUUGAUUGCCAGGGUUGAUUCAGCUGAUCUGGCUGGUUAUGUGGGUAUCCCCUUUCUCCCUCACUGCUCCAUGUGCGUCCCUCCAAAGCUGCCUCUAAGUCAAAGAGGACAGACCUUCCCUGAAUAGAGACCAUCUGGUCUUCGGUCGAGGGUAUACAAGUGGAACUAGGUAGUCACAUGUGUUAGGAAAGAUCUCAUCAGAUUAGAGGGGUUGAGAGGUUGACAUCUC